rnacentral:lncRNA from 1 species
GACUACCCUACCAAGGUUCUACACGGGAGACGUCCCAGAAACACACACACCACAGAAAAGAUUUGCUGAGGCCAGGUUCUAAAGCGUUGAUUGUGCCUGGUUCUCCAUCAAAGUCCACAUGCUGAUAUUGUUUUUUUCAGGGAAGUUUCUGGAUGGAGAGCUGGUGGGACAGAAAUUACUUCUCUUUGAAGACAAAAGUCAUUAAGCACUCUGGCCAACUGCAGAAAAGGACAAGAAAAGCGCCCAAAUGACGUUCACAACAAGGAAGGAGGAGGAGGAAAAACUUGUUUUUCUCCUAUUAUGAAUCCUUACUAAGACCCGGGUAUCGGUGGAGAGGGUCAAAGGCUGCAGACUACCAUGGAAGGAUAUGCUUAAUGGCUGAAGCAGCGGGUAGCAAGAAGUCUCUGGGAGAAGAAGCUGGAUGCUGGCUGUUCUCUGGAACUUUCUCUACCCCUGUUUCUCUGAAUGUGCUUAAGUAGAUGGUGAG